rnacentral:lncRNA from 10 species
UCACCUGUGAAGAUGGUAAUUCCUACCAGUGCUACAGAUGUCACUGCAAAUGGACAAGCCAAGUCUAGAAGACGCUAGGUCGGGAUUGGACAGCCAGAGGCUGGAAGAUGAUUCUAAGACCAAUGAAACAGAAAGGGAAGCAUAUCACAAACCAGAGCCAGACACUCUGCUAGGUUCUGAGGAUUCAGAGAAUGAAUUAUUUCCUUUCCACUAAGAAGUCGGUUAGAACUUCAAUCGAGAGAACACACAGAGCAAACUGGGUGAUCAACCUGCCUUGUGAAAACA